rnacentral:rRNA from 1 species
GACGAACGCUGGCGGCGUGCUUAACACAUGCAAGUCGAACGGAAAGGCCCUGCUUUUGUGGGGUGCUCGAGUGGCGAACGGGUGAGUAACACGUGAGUAACCUGCCCUUGACUUUGGGAUAACUUCAGGAAACUGGGGCUAAUACCGGAUAGGAGCUCCUGCUGCAUGGUGGGGGUUGGAAAGUUUCGGCGGUUGGGGAUGGACUCGCGGGUUAUCAGCUUGUUGGUGGGGUAGUGGCUUACCAAGGCUUUGACGGGUAGCCGGCCUGGGAGGGUGACCGGCCACAUUGGGACUGAGAUACGGCCCAGACUCCUACGGGAGGCAGCAGUGGGGAAUAUUGCACAAUGGGCGGAAGCCUGAUGCAGCAACGCCGCGUGCGGGAUGACGGCCUUCGGGUGGUAAACCGCUUUCGCCUGUGACGAAGCGUGAGUGACGGUAAUGGGGAAAGAAGCACCGGCUAACUACGU